rnacentral:lncRNA from 1 species
GACCGUUCAUGAGUUAGUUACUAUGCAUUCCAUUUUCCUAUAAAUAGAAGCUCAUUCCUUCAUUAUUUUCUUACGAAUUCACUGAACUCUAGAGAGAGAAACUAUAGAGAGAUAGAAGAAAAGCUUUCUGCUACUUAACUUUCUUUUCCUAUAUCCAGUUUCUGUUACGGUAAGGGAUAUUAUUCUUUUAUAUUCAUGAAGAGAACUGUUGUUAUU